GAUGAACGCUAGCGGCAGGCCUAAUACAUGCAAGUCGAACGGUGUCUUCAGACAUAGUGGCGCACGGGUGCGUAACACGUAUGCAACCUACCUUACAUUGGGGGAUAGCCUUUCGAAAGGGAGAUUAAUACCGCAUAAGACAGUAGCUGGGCAUCCAGCAGCUGUUAAAGAUUUAUCGAUGUAAGCUGGGCAUGCGUCCAAUUAGCUAGUUGGUGAGGUAACGGCUCACCAAGGAAAUGAUUGGUAGGGGAACUGAGAGGUCAAUCCCCCACACUGGCACUGAGAUACGGGCCAGACUCCUACGGGAGGCAGCAGUAGGGAAUAUUGGGCAAUGGACGCAAGUCUGACCCAGCCAUGCCGCGUGCAGGAUGAAGGCGUUAUGCGUUGUAAACUGCUUUUAUACAGGAAGAAACGACUCUUGCGAGAGGCAUUGACGGUACUGUAUGAAUAAGCACCGGCUAACUCCGUGCCAGCCGCCGCCGUAAUAC
rnacentral:rRNA from 1 species